rnacentral:tRNA from 1 species
GCCUGGGUGGCUCAGUCGGUUGAGCGUCCGACUUGGGCUCAGGUCAUGAUCUCACAGUUUGUGAGUUUGAGUCCCACCUCAGGCU